rnacentral:rRNA from 1 species
AGACCCGAAACCCGGUGAUCUAGCCAUGGGCAGGUUGAAGGUUGGGUAACACUAACUGGAGGACCGAACCGACUAAUGUUGAAAAAUUAGCGGAUGACCUGUGGCUGGGGGUGAAAGGCCAAUCAAACCGGGAGAUAGCUGGUUCUCCCCGAAAGCUAUUUAGGUAGCGCCUCGUGAAUUCAUCUCCGGGGGUAGAGCACUGUUUCGGCUAGGGGGCCAUCCCGGCUUACCAACCCGAUGCAAACUGCGAAUACCGGAGAAUGUUAUCACGGGAGACACACGGCGGGUGCUAACGUCCGUCGUGAAGAGGGAAACAACCCAGACCGCCAGCUAAGGUCCCAAAGUCAUGGUUAAGUGGGAAACGAUGUGGGAAGGCCCAGACAGCCAGGAUGUUGGCUUAGAAGCAGCCAUCAUUUAAAGAAAGCGUAAUAGCUCACUGGUCGAGUCGGCCUGCGCGGAAGAUGUAACGGGGCUAAACCAUGCACCGAAGCUGCGGCAGCGACGCUGAUGCGUUGUUGGGUAGGGGAGCGUUCUGUAAGCCUGCGAAGGUGGCCUGUGAGGGUUGCUGGAGGUAUC